AUCGCAGCGGUCACGGCAAGGGGAGAAAAGCCCUGCUUGCAAGACGGGAGGAACGCGGAGAUAGGGUCAUGCCGUGUGAUGAGCGAGCGACUGAGGCCUGGGUGCGCUCUGGAUGACAGACUGUGUAGCAGCUGAGCUCUACGACUGAACAUUCGUAUCCGUGCACUAGGACUGGAAGAUAGGACUGAGUGCUGUAACUAAACCAUAGGACUGAGUGCUGUAACUAAACUAUAGCUAUAGGACUGAGUGCUGUAACUAAACUAUAGGACUGAGUGUUGUGACUAAACUAUAGGACUGCGUGUUCUAACUAAACUAUAGGACUGAGUGUUCUACCUGAACUAUAGGACUGAGUGUUCUAACUAAACUAUAGUAUAGGACUGAGUGUUCUAACUAAACUAUAGGACUGAGUGUUCUACCUGAACUAUAGGACUGAGUGUUGUAGCUGAACUAUAGGACUGGAUGUUGUGACUGAGCGCUGCUACCUUAGCGACGUAUAUGGUAGUGCGAGCACGCAGGGAGGCUGACUCGUUGUCGUGACAACAGACGCGGUGUCGCUUAGACAACUGACGCCUCAUCGUAAAACUAACUAACGAGGUGUCACCAAGAUAACCGACGUGAUGUGUGCGAGAUAGUAGUCGCGGUGUCCCCAGGACAACAGGCACUGUGUCACCAAAACAACAGGCGCGGUGUCACCAAGAGAUCGGGCGCGGCGUGGCGGGCGUCUGUGAGAAUAUUGUUGUCAUCUUCGUCUGCUAGGAGAUGGACUCUCUGUGAGAUGGAUGGUGUGCGGUCGCCACUCUGACAAUCGUUUUGCGGAGGCAGAACCAUAGGGAAAGAAAGCUACUACAAGAGAAAGAGAGAAAGAGCAAGAGAUAAAGAUAGAUAGAUAUAUAGAGAAAGA